rnacentral:rRNA from 1 species
CCUACGGGUGGCAGCAGUGGGGGAUAUUGCACAAUGGGGGGAACCCUGACGCAGCGACGCCGCGUGGGUGAAGAAGGGCCUCGGCGUGUAAAGCUCUGUCAGAAGGGAAGAAAAUGACGGUACCUGAAGAAGAAGCCCCGGCUAACUACGUGCCAGCAGCCGCGGUAAUACGAAGGGGGCGAGCGUUAUCCGGAUUUACUGGGUGUAAAGGGGGUGUAGGCGGCGGUGCAAGCCAGGAGUGAAAGGCCGGGGCCCAACCCCGGGACUGCUCUUGGAACUGCGUGGCUGGAGUGCAGGAGGGGCAGGCGGAAUUCCUGGUGUAGCGGUGAAAUGCGUAGAUAUCAGGAAGAACACCGGUGGCGAAGGCGGCCUGCUGGACUGCAACUGACGUUGAGGCCCGAAAGCGUGGGGAGCAAACAGGAUUAGAUACCCGAGUAGUC